GUGCUACUCCCUCCGAUCCAUAUUACUUGUCGAAAUAUUACAUGUAUCUAGACGCUUUUUAGGCAUACAUACAUCCAUAUUUGGGCAAAUUUGAGACAAUUAAUAUGGAUCGGAGGGAGUACUAC
rfam:Brachypodium distachyon strain Bd21 chromosome 1, whole genome shotgun sequence.